GAACAGACGAGGAGCUUGCUCCUCUGACGUUAGCGGCGGACGGGUGAGUAACACGUGGAUAACCUACCUAUAAGACUGGGAUAACUUCGGGAAACCGGAGCUAAUACCGGAUAAUAUAUUGAACCGCAUGGUUCAAUAGUGAAAGACGGUUUUGCUGUCACUUAUAGAUGGAUCCGCGCCGCAUUAGCUAGUUGGUAAGGUAACGGCUUACCAAGGCAACGAUGCGUAGCCGACCUGAGAGGGUGAUCGGCCACACUGGAACUGAGACACGGUCCAGACUCCUACGGGAGGCAGCAGUAGGGAAUCUUCCGCAAUGGGCGAAAGCCUGACGGAGCAACGCCGCGUGAGUGAUGAAGGUCUUCGGAUCGUAAAACUCUGUUAUUAGGGAAGAACAAAUGUGUAAGUAACUAUGCACGUCUUGACGGUACCUAAUCAGAAAGCCACGGCUAACUACGUGCCAGCAGCCGCGGUAAUACGUAGGUGGCAAGCGUUAUCCGGAAUUAUUGGGCGUAAAGCGCGCGUAGGCGGUUUUUUAAGUCUGAUGUGAAAGCCCACGGCUCAACCGUGGAGGGUCAUUGGAAACUGAAAAACUUGAGUGCAGAAGAGGAAAGUGGAAUUCCAUGUGUAGCGGUGAAAUGCGCAGAGAUAUGGAGGAACACCAGUGGCGAAGGCGACUUUCUGAUCUG
rnacentral:rRNA from 1 species